rnacentral:rRNA from 1 species
UUCAACGGCCGCGGUAUUCUAACCGUGCAAAGGUAGCGUAANCACUUGUCCACUAAAUAUGGACCAGUAUGAACGGCUAAAUGAGGGCUAGCCUGUCUCCUUUGCCUAAUCAGUGAAACUGAUCUUUCAGUCCAAAAGCUGAAAUAUUAACAUAAGACGAGAAGACCCUGUGGAGCUUUAAAUUUAUAUCAACAGUACCAACUCAGUCAACUGUAUGAUUAAAAAUUUUAAGUUGGGGCAACUUCGGAACAAAGCCAAACUUCCGAGAACAAAGACAAUCCAUCUUACUAAGGCCUACAAGCCAAAGCAAAAUUGACCCAGUACCACUGAUAAACGAACCAAGUUACCCCAGGGAUAACAGCGCCAUCUUCUUCAAGAGUUCAUAUCGACAAGAAGGCUUACGACCUCGAUGUUGGAUCAGGACACCCAAACGGUGCAGCCGCUGUUAAAGGUUG